rnacentral:piRNA from 1 species
UGAAGAUUCACAGUUUCUCAUUUAGUGU